rnacentral:rRNA from 1 species
GCAAGUCGAACGAGAAAGUUCCCUUCGGGGAAUGAGUACAGUGGCGAACGGGUGAGUAACAGGCGGAAAACCUGCCCUACAAUGGGGGAUAACAGUUCUAACGAGCUGCUAAUACCGCAUACGACCUUUGGAACGCAUGUUCUGAAGGUGAAAGGUGGCCUCUCUUUGAAGCUGCCGUUGAAGGAUGGUUCCGCCUCCCAUUAGCUUGUUGGUGGGGUAAUGGCCUACCAAGGCGACGAUGGGUAGCCGGCCUGAGAGGGUGUCC